ACGGGCCAAGGGAAAGCCUACCAUGCAGUCGAGGGGUAGAGGAAGCUUGCUUCCUUGAGACCGGCGCACGGGUGCGUAACGCGUAUGCAAUCUGCCUUGUACUGAGGGAUAGCCCAGAGAAUUUGGAUUAAUACCUCAUAGCAUUAUGAAAUCGCAUGGUUUUAUAAUUAAAGUUCCAACGGUACAAGAUGAGCAUGCGUCCCAUUAGUUAGUUGGUAAGGUAACGGCUUACCAAGACGAUGAUGGGUAGGGGUCCUGAGAGGGAGAUCCCCCACACUGGUACUGAGACACGGACCAGACUCCUACGGGAGGCAGCAGUGAGGAAUAUUGGUCAAUGGACGCAAGUCUGAACCAGCCAUGCCGCGUGCAGGAUGAAGCAUCUAUGGUGUGUAAACUGCUUUUGUACGGGAAGAAACACUCCUACGUGUAGGAACUUGACGGUACCGUAAGAAUAAGGAUCGGCUAACUCCGUGCCAGCAGCCGCGGUAAUACGGAGGAUCCAAGCGUUAUCCGGAAUCAUUGGGUUUAAAGGGUCCGUAGGCGGCUUUAUAAGUCAGUGGUGAAAGCCCAUCGCUUAACGAUGGAACGGCCAUUGAUACUGUAGAGCUUGAAUUACUUGGAAGUAACUAGAAUAUGUAGUGUAGCGGUGAAAUGCUUAGAUAUUACAUGGAAUACCAAUUGCGAAGGCAGGUUACUACAAGUGGAUUGACGCUGAUGGACGAAAGCGUGGGGAGCGAACAGGAUUAGAUACCCUGGUAGUCCACGCCGUAAACGAUGGAUACUAGCUGUUCGGAGCAAUCUGAGUGGCUAAGCGAAAGUGAUAAGUAUCCCACCUGGGGAGUACGCACGCAAGUGUGAAACUCAAAGGAAUUGACGGGGGCCCGCACAAGCGGAGGAGCAUGUGGUUUAAUUCGAUGAUACGCGAGGAACCUUACCAGGGCUUAAAUGGGAGACGACAGGACUGGAAACAGUUUUUUCUUCGGACGUCUUUCAAGGUGCUGCAUGGUUGUCGUCAGCUCGUGCCGUGAGGUGUCAGGUUAAGUCCUAUAACGAGCGCAACCCCUAUUGUUAGUUGCCAUCGGGUCAUGCCGGGAACUCUAACAAGACUGCCGGUGCAAACCGUGAGGAAGGUGGGGAUGACGUCAAAUCAUCACGGCCCUUACGUCCUGGGCUACACACGUGCUACAAUGGACGGUACAGAGAGCAGCCACUGCGCGAGCAGGAGCGAAUCUUCAAAGCCGUUCUCAGUUCGGAUCGGAGUCUGCAACUCGACUCCGUGAAGCUGGAUUCGCUAGUAAUCGCAUAUCAGCCAUGAUGCGGUGAAUACGUUCCCGGGCCUUGUAC
rnacentral:rRNA from 1 species